AUGGCCCCCAAGCCGGCGGAGAAGAAGCCCGCGGCGGAGAAGACGGCCGAGAAGGAGCCCGCGGCGGAGAAGGAGCCCGCGACGGAGAAGGCGGCCGAGAAGCCCCCGGCAACUGCCGGGAAGAAGCCCGAGGCCGAGAAGCGUCUGCCGGCGGGAGAAACGGCCUUCAAGGCGGGCAAGAGGAGGAAGGAGACCUACAAGGUCCACAUCUACAAGGUUCUCAAGCAGACGCACGGCAACGAGCUCGGCAUCACCUCCAAGGCCAUGGCCGCCAUGAACUCUUUCGUCAACGACAUGUUCGAGAGGCUCGCCGCCGAGGCCGGCAAGCUCGCCCGCUACAACAAGAAGACCACCAUCGGCCCCCGGGAGAUCGGGACCUCCGUCCGCCUCCUCCUCCCCGGCGAUCUCUCCAGGAUUGCCUUCGAAUGUGGCGACGCUGCCGUCGACAGGUUGAAAAACUACAACGUAUCUUAUGUAUCUCCGGAGGAAGAGUAA
rnacentral:rRNA from 1 species